rnacentral:tRNA from 1 species
GCCACAAUAGCUCAGCGGUAGAGCAGCUGUUUCGUAAACAGCAGGUCGCAGGUUCAAAUCCCGCUUGUGGCU